rnacentral:tRNA from 1 species
GUACCCAAGUGGUUAAGGGAGCGGUCUGCAAAACCGCUAUUCGGGGGUUCGACUCCCCCCGUCACCUCCA